UCUCUCUCUCAAAAAUGAGUAAACAUUUCAAGAGAAUUUUUUUUAAUGAUUGCAACCGAAUGGACAAAUCUGGUUUCCACUCCUGACCCUUCCAGACUGCCCUUCCCUACAGUAGGUACAGCCAAUCUUUGCCCCCUCUCAGCUUGGACACGGAGGCAUCUGUUGACUUAUCUGCUGAGUCUCCCUGUGCAUACAGCGUCUGCUUCAUAUCUGAGUCCCCUUUCUGGCAAUGCCCUCCAGCUAUUCCUGCCAGGCCGUGCACAUUCCUAGUCCCAGGAAUGUGCCUCUUAUCGCCGCCCUGUCCAUCAGUCAAGGCCAACAGCAGCAGCGGCUUUCCUGGAUAACCAGGGUCUGGUGCAAUCCCCCAGGAGAAGCGGACGAGCCGUGGGCCUCGCGCCCUUCUGUUUCUAAGCUCAGGGCUCAUUGUCACUGGAGAUCCAGGUUUUCUGAGGCAAACGCUCAAGGGCCCUGCGGCCCAGCGUGCAGAAGGCCCAGCAGCGAAGCUUCUUGGUCUGAGCGGUGGCUCUGCCUUGUGCCCUCUGGACUCGAAGUGUCCCGCGUGCCACCUCCCUCCAAGUUCCUUGUGCCACUCGGACCCUGCACGUGGACACCUAACCCGGAUGCUGACCUCGGAGCUCUGUGAGGCCUCCGGACAGUCUCUUCCUCCCCCUGGGUUUCUCUUUACCUGCCCAGCCACUUCCUAUCCAAGGGUUUGGUCAAUGAAGGCACAGUCUCUGAAGGACUUUCCGCCUCGCCGGGCUCGGGGCGAGUGACCACCCAAAGGCUGUCAUUAUCCCGUGUGUGAUCUCCUGGAGAGGAUUGCGGGCGUGUGAAAAUACUUUGCCAAGCUCCGUAAGCCUUGCCCUUCUGGACGCCACUGCCCCAGCGUGGUCUCCCUGAGGAAAGUGAGCGGGAGGAAGGCGAGGAGCUUGGACCCCGGGCCCUGGUGAGCCGCCCGCGACGGAGUCCGUGGGGACACUGAGAGAGCUACGUGGUUUUGUGCUCGUGCCUAGUGUUGCACACAGGCGCUUCCAAAGGUGAAGGGCUUUGGGACUUGAGGUGAGAGCUUUCGGGCUGCAUCUCACACCAAACAGCCCAUCGGCUUGGCCUUUGGACCCAAGCAGACCCAAGUUCAAAUUCAAGUCCCACCACAAGACUCAGGUUCUUUUCCCACUUGGAUGGGCUCCUUCUAUCUCCUCAUCUCUGAUUCUUCUUUGAUGAGUUCUGUGUCCCUCUCGUUAUAUAUAUCGGUUUCGUUUAGAGAGAGAGAGCACUCACAAGUGGGGCAGAGGGGCAGAGGGAGUCAAAGAGAGCAUGUCAAGCAGGCUCUGUGAUCGGCCAACAUGGGGCUCGAUCCCGCAGCCCUGGGACCAUGACCUGAGCUGAAAUCAAGACUCAGGCGCUCAACCGACUGAGCCACCCAGGUGCCCCUCCCUCUGUUUUAAAGAAUCCAGUUCAAGCAGCUUCACCCAGAAACUCAUGGAGACCCCUCUAAGCAGGCUGGAGGGCUACUUUCUCUGCUGUCCCCAAACAGCCACCAGCCACACAGAAUUGAGAGGGCCUGUUCAAUGUCCAUCUUCCUGACCACGUGUGGGCCCCUGGAAGGGAGGGACAGGGGUUUAUUCGUCUGUGUCUCCAGUGUCUGGACCGACUCCUGAAACCACAAAGUGUGCCGCACAUAUUUGCCGAGCUAAUUACUUACAACUAAAAACAGAAUCAUCGCCAACGGGCCGGGGGUUCAGGACAGUCAUGGACUGAAGCAGGAAGGAGAGGGAACGGGAAGUGGGCGAUUUCCUGGACCUGGUGGGCCGGGAGGAACCCGGGACUGGGGGACGCCUGCGUUCCAGGCCAGGCCCAGCCUCCCACCGCUUGGCCAUCGCAGAAGUCAGCCCAGCACCUUGGCCUGGAUCACGGCCUCCCUCCCCUGCGUAGGGCUGCCCCGGAUCAUUCCAAGCUCGCAUCUGACGCACUCCGUGCACAAAGGCCGUUGCGUCGACUAAGGUCAGGCUGUGAAACCCCCACCUUCCCUCUGAGCUCAGGGUCAGGCCUGCUGGCAAAGACAGGGCCAGACUGUCGUCUCCCCAGAUGAGACUGUAACUGGCCACACGGUGAAAGACAGAGAAGGGAGCCGUUUCUGAAAAAUAUACGUGUCUCCCCAUCCAGCCUUAUUACCGGUGGGUUUUCUGUCUCAUUUGUUUGCCUCCGAGUGAUUUGAGGCGUUCACUCUGCAUCAGCAACACUUACAAGAAAUAUGAGACGAAAUAAAUUUGCCACAGACAUUAUACACCAUGCUGCAGUAAUUACAAACCCGCUGUCCUGAAAGCAGCCUGAUGGGGCUGAAAUACAUGAAUGCAUAAUGCUCGGGAGGGGAAGGGAAAAGGAAGAGGAAGAGGGGGCGGGAAGGCGGGAGAGAGAGAAAAUGGAUAGCAUUUGGCAUCAGUGAUCUGUGUGCCAAACAUCGAGCCCGGCCCCUCACCGGCUCUGGCUCACUUAAUCCAUUCGGGCUUCCCGUGAAGCAAGCUUGUCGUGAACUCGGGGUUAUAGAGGGGAGAGAGAGGUGAACAGCGGGAAAACGGGCCAGCAGCGGAGCAGAGCUCUGAGAUGUGAGUCAAAGUACCCUGCAGAGCCUCCAAAAGGUGGCACACGCGGAGCACCGGGGACUUGCGAGGCGGGAGCAAGGCUGCACGUUGGGACUUCUGGGAGGUCUGCACACACAGACCGGCGCCGACCCGCCCGAUGCCCCGUCCACCCUUGCACAUCCCCACAGACCACCAGAGCCUUGGGUCUUUGGACCUUCCUCUCCGUGUCCUCCAAUUGGGCCAUUUGUGUCCAUCUAUCUUCUAGUUCACUGAUGCUUUCUUCCACCAUCUCCAGUCUGUUGGUAACUCUAUCCAGUGAACUUUUGGGGUGCCUGGGUGGCUCUGUUAAGCAUCGGGCUCCUAAUCUCAGCUCAGGUCAUGAUCUCACGGUUUGUGAGUUCGAGCCCCGCCUCGGGCUCUGGGCUGACAGCACGGAGCCUGCUUGGGAUUCUCUCUCUCUCUCUCUCUCUCUCUCUCUCUCUGACCCUCCCCCACUCGCUCUC